rnacentral:tRNA from 5 species
GGAUGGGUGGCCGAGCGGUUGAAGGCACCGGUCUUGAAAACCGGCAGGCCCGCAAGGGUCUCGUGGGUUCGAAUCCCACCCCAUCCGCCA